ACUAGUUGAAUGUUCCUAGAAGGUCCUAUACCAGUCAAGCGCCGUCCUUUUGCCUCUUAAUGCGCAUGCUUCAGCCCACGCACCCAAAUCCUGAGCUCUUAUCCGAAAGCUGCUGAUCACCAGCUUCAGGUGUUUUCUGUCUGUUGGGAGCCUGCCUUUCCCUGGCACCGGCUGUCACCAAUUAUUUUAGAGAGACAGUGUAACAACCACCUGACCAUCUCACCUGAUGGUUGCUGGGGGGCGUUCUUCUGCCCUGCUUAUGUGUGCCUGACUACCUACUGUAACAAGAGGAGCCCUGCCCUGAAGACAGCGCAAUACAGGGAAGAAGGGAUCGCUUCAGACCAGGAGGGCCUCACUGCAAGACUCCUGACAAGCUGAUCUGAUUUAUCUUCCUAUGUAUCUGAUGAAUGGUUUAUCCAGGGACUGGCAAAAGGAGAAAAACAAGAUGCAGAGGAAUGAGACUGAGAGUACCACAGUGUGAACAGUUUCCCCAAAGUGCUUCAUUUUGGCUCCAGAUUACCCAGAGCUCCUAGGGAAACUGAGCCCGCACCUCGCGCGCCUCUCUGCUACUCCCAGCGAGCGCAGCUGCAGCCCGGAGACGCCGGUAUCCAGCGCCAGGUCUUCCACGCCCGACCCCUCCCGGGUCUGGGGCGCUGGACACCCGUCCUCCUCCUUUCGCCGGGAUUGGCCACGCUGGUAGCGUCGCGGUGUCCAGGUCAGGUGAGUGGGUCGGGCUGCCAAGGGCGCCCAGAGAGAGGACUGCUCUGCAGGGCGCAGGCGUCGCGUGUCGCCGAGGGGCGCGGCAGGGGCCGGCGGCUGGGGCUCCCUCGCGGGGUGUGUCCUGUCCCAUGCUGCAGCGUCGGGUUGUCCAGGAUCUAGCAGGGCGUGGCUGGGCCUUCUGCAGGGGCCGCCGUCCAUGCCCCGGGCUCGGACCACCUGCUUCUCGGCCCUUUACAGACCUCCCAGUGGCUGGGAGGGGAGGUGGGCUCAGCGGACAAAUUCAGUGUCUUUCCGUUUUUGCACCCUCAAACAGGUGGGAGAAGAGGUCCGCUCCAAACCUGAGAGCGGGCCGCACCCUCCCACCUGGGCUCUUCCUUCUAACGUCGGGGCCGAGUGGGAUUCGCUUUCGCCUAGAUCUCGGUGGGUCGGGCCCCGCGCCCCGGGUUUUACAGGCAGCAGGUUUAGCCUCUUGGAGACGCCGGACCUCGCAGACAGGUGCCCAACUCCAGAAACAGCCCAGAGGAAAGGGUGUUGGGGGCUUGAGGUGCAUUUAGGAAGACACUUUCUGGAGGCACUUAUUGACACCGUUCAGGUGUAGGCAGACCCCAAAGCAGGGGUGAGAUGAGUGCCGGUUCCAGGGUGACCCAGACACGCACAGUUCCCGAAGGGUGAAGGCGGUGCCUGGAGAUAUAGCCCGGCGCCCAGCACUUGUUAAACCACCUGGCCAGGCAGGUGCUCCUGGUUAGCCCCCUAUGAUUGGAAAGUCGAUUUUAAGCCAUUUUAACUUAUGCAGACUCUUUCUUGGUCAAGAUACUGUGAACCAGUUUGGAGGGGGCGCCACUUAGCAUCUGAGUUGCAUCUCUUUCAGGAAGGAUUCUAACCCUCCGAUUUUGCUUCAGAAUUUUUGCCAAACCGGGUCCAGCCUCUCUGUUGAAGCUGAUCUGCCCACACCAGUUCUGAAACAGGAGUCAAUGUUACUUACCUUUCUUGCUUCUACCAAGCAGUGAUUUCUAACACCUUCUAGUGUGAAGACACCUUUAUGAUGUCUGUUUUAGAACGGCACGUAGUCAUUGUACUUGGUAUAGUGACAGACUAUGAGAAAGCUACCAGGAAUUUAAUAUGAAAAUAAAUACAUUCAUAAAUAAAUUGCUUAUGUAUUCACAGCAAGCAUUUCCUUAAAUUUGGAAAGUAAGGUUUGAGACUCAUCUGCAGAUAAUGUGUAGAAUCCACAUGCACUUUUGGUCCCUGGACCAAGAAUCAUCAUUGUUCAAGUUGUCACUCACCUGAUGUGAGUCUUUGAGGGCUGACUGCAACCUUGUGAUCCUUCUGGGAGAAUCUGUGGGAAGAGGGAGCAAAAGAGUUACUAGUUUAUGAGCAUUUAUGUGGUGGGUAUUGUGCGGAGCGGUUUUGUGCUCACUUAAUUCCUGAACCUUCGUAGCGUCACUUAUUUACUACCCGCAUUUUAUGAACAAGAAAACUGAAGUCCAGAGAGAGGAAGGAACUCUCCCAAGGUCGCGCUUCUAGUAAGUGAUCCAACUGAAACUUCAACCCAAGUAGCCUGUUGACUGAGCCUGAGCUCCCAUGUUAGUUACUGACAUCGACUACUCUCAGUUUAAUAGUUUUCUUCAAGUCAUGUGAG
rnacentral:lncRNA from 10 species